UCUCUCGCUGACUAUUCAUUUCUUCGGCCGAGUGACGCUGAAUCAGAUCCGUAAAGCUUCUCAAUCUGGAGAUGAUAAAUCAAAUUUUUUUAUCGAUGUUACUGAAAUAAGCCAGUCUACAAGGUGUUCGACGAAAUGCUCACAAGAACAUCUUUGUCUUCAGAUGGAUAUGCAACUUUUAAUUUUAUUGGGGUAUUGCGGCUGCUGACAAUAAUCAUGUUCAAAUUUUAUGAGGGAUUAAGAAGACGGGCAUAGCCCUUAUUUCUGAACUCAAACUGAUGUCAAUAUAGGUUCUAAGAUCUUAAUUGGUCUGAACUAGGUUUAGUUCAUCCAUAUUCUCUAGUCAAGCAAACAAAGAAGAAGAAAAUGGUAUCACUGUUUUUAGAUUUUGAUAUAAAUACGAGAGGCGCAGAGAUAAAAAUGUUUGUCUCCAAUGUAAGGUACGAAUUACUUGUUUGUUUCUUAUUAAUUGAAUUUGUUUUCAUAGUUAUCAACUAAAUGCAAUGUAUAUAGAUUUAAGAACACUGUUCUUUGAUUGAAAUUGCAUUUACAAUGUUUGUGGAUUUACUUUGGUAAUCUUUG